GGUACCUGGCGGGGCGUUUGUCUCUUGCUCCAGCCAGAGCUCGAGGUUAGCUCUUCACUGCCUUGUGUCCUCUUUCCGAGGUCUCGGUGAUUCGGCCAGUCUCAGCCUCCAUCACCUGAUGGUGUUGGAAGAUUCAUAGACUCCAGGGCAUUCCUGAAGCCGAGAAAAGGUUAAGUGGGGUCUGGCCUGGAAUACUCUCCUAGAUGAAAAUAGCCCAACCAUGAGCCACCUUCUCAGCAGAUGAGAUGAAAUUAAAGCUCUUCAAUUCCUCAAGGCCCAGAGACUAUCACAAAAGAGGCCAGCCAGGAGCAGAGAUGGCAGAUUUACUGUCUCCUUUGCCUGUGGGGCUGGAGCCCUGAUUCAAGGGAAACCUGGGACCCAGGUGCUGCUGGGAGAACUUCAG